AUCGGAACGACAAAAUUAUUUCAGUAGCAACAAUGUAUGGACCCCUCUCCUUUUCUGAUGUAGGCAGCCAGUUAAGAGGCUUCACAGUGUUCAGUUUAGUGCCAGCUCUCGAGGUAUCAAGAUGACGAAUCCUGUUGACAACUUGGCGACUGAGAUAGAGGCGUUAACCCGGAUCGUCAACCAGGACGAAAUGAUGGAUGAAAGUACAACGCGUCAACUUGGUGUUGCCUCGGACAGCGCGGAGAUCCCAAAAACUCCGAAUCCUACCCCGAACGAGAAUUAGAAGAGAAAAAAAAAUUGGCGAUGGUGGGAUAAA